GCUGAGGCAUGGGAAUCCCUUGAGCCCAGGAGGUUGAGGCUGCAGUGAGUGGUGACUGCGCCAUUGUUCGUUCCUUUCAUUCUCUAUAUUCUCUAUGCACUGCCCAUCCCCCAUUUUGUUUCAUCUGUGCCCUGAUAUAGUUACUCUGGCCUGUGCCUUUUUGGCUGCAUACCUGUGGUUUUGGAUAGUUACCCAUGCAAUUCUGGAUGGACAUCUAGGUUUAGAAACUAGUAGAGAUUGGUCUAAUGACUUGCCUGUCCCCUCUUCCCAUAUAUGGCCUCAGCAAAUCCCAUUUCUCAAAUGUGUACUCUCAUUUUCACUGUCAUGUUUAGCUGCUCAGCAGAGGUGAUGGGCUACUAAUCACACCUGAGUCAUCUCAUGUACUCUUUCAGACUUCAAACUACCUUAGCUUUCCAGUUUUUCAACUAAGCUAAGAUGGGAGGUUUCUGUUCAUUGUGGAAAGAGGCUCUUUUCUCCUCAUAGACGUAUUCCAAUGUUUAUCUUUAAUUAUUAACAAGAAUUAUUAAAUGCUUAGUUCAUUGCUUGCACACGGUAUUCAAAAAACUGAAUUUUCCUUUCCUGAGUUCUGUUUGACACAUUUCAUUUCCUCAUUGCUCACCUCUUAGCCAUUUUUCUGCCAUACAGGCCCUCCUCCUCAUGCCCUCUUUUUUUUUUUUCUUAGCAUUUCAAUAUGUUUCUUUCCAAUUAUUUCUAUGCUUUGGAAAAAUAUAAUUGAAAAAUUACUGCAUGUCCUUUUUUCACUUGCUAUUUUAACAUAACUAUUUUCCUGUUAAAAUUAUUAACUAUAAUUUUGAUAACUGCUAGAUAUAGCAGCUAUACCAAGCUUCAUCUGGCCAUUUUCCUAUAAUCAAACAUUUAGGUGCUCAUGUGUUUACACAUACAUUUUUGUUCACAUUGUUUAUUAUUUCCCUACCUGAGGCUUCUAGAAGUGGGAUUACAAUGGUAAGCAUUUUAAGAGGAAUACAAAAGCUAGUUUCAUAUUAAGAACUGAUACCACAUUAAGAAGUGAUACUGCUGUUUUCUCACCAGCAGACUACUAACUUUUCAAGUCCCAUUGAUAUUACAGCAAAAAAGAAUGGCUUUACGAAUCUCAUUCAUUUUAUAAGUAGCAUCAUCUUCAUUUUAAAAAUAUAAGUCAUCUAAUUGUUUGCAGUGUUAUACACUGUUCAGAGAACUACAUAGCUCUGAUUCCUUCAUUCCAAAAGUGUACAUUCCAAGGAAGAUACACUGAUGUGAAGAUUCACCAAAUGCAGACAAGAACUAUUAAAAGUACCCCAUGGAUGGACCUCCAAAUGAGUGUAGGGUAAUUGCGCUUAAAAUAUUAGGACCAAAGUACAUUUAUUUUAUAGAUGGAGGAGGGGAGGAGAUGAGUGGGGACCAGCUGAGACAUCCAGUCUUCACCUGGACAUAUGGAAAGAACAAAUGUGUGGUCUGCUCAUUCCCUCCGAAGGUCUCUGUUGUUAUAUAUUUCCUCCUCUCUUCCAGAGCAUAAUAACCAAUGACUGUUCUCAGAAAGGUACUGUGACCACCACUUGCUUGGCUCUCCAACCUCCUCCCCCAUUUCCCUCUUGAUUCCUCUUUGCCAUAUCACCUUCUGUCCCCUAGCCUUGCCUCAGGUCCCUGACGAAUCCUGCCCUUAAUCUGUGGGGGUGGUAGAUGGCACUGGUUUGAAGAGCUUACUGGAUCUCCCUCAGUGUGUCAGCCUGGAGUUGUGUUUGAAAACCACAGGCCCUGACUGUGGCUGUCAGACCUCCCAGACACCACCUGCUGCUGCCCGUCAUCAUCUUCAGGUGCUGGGCUCCCCUGUGGGCCUCCUCCUCCCGCCUCUGCUGCAGCGGUCCCAUGGGUGUCCGCCCUCUCUGACACCACAAGAGAAGCCAUCUAGAUUCCAGGAACAAAGUCAUCUUUAUUUGCCUCCUUCCCACUGAAGAACAGGCCCAAGGGAGAGGGAAAACUGGAUACCCACCUGUGUCGCUGUUUGUGUGCCAAGUCCAGGAACAGUCCAUACAGCCCUGAGGCAUCCCACGACGCUGUCACAAAGAAGUUCAUCCGAGGCCGAGGUGUUGUCACCAGAAUGUUCAUUAAAAUGGAGAAACUGAGGCCCAGAAAUUGAUCUCCAGAAUGCUUUGCUCUUAGCCACUAUACUAUUAUGGCAUAUUUUAUCUUUAUGUAUUGCAUUAUUUCAUGGAUUCAAGUUUAUCAAUGUCCUUUGACAAGUUUAAAAAUCUGUCUGCUCACAUGCACAUGUAUGUUCAUUGCGGCACUAUUCACAAUAGCAAAGACUUGGAAUCAACCCAA